GCCUAUAUAGCUUAAUGGUAAAGCAAUCGCUUGAAGCGCGGUCAAUACGGGUUCAAAUCCCAUUGUAGGCA
rnacentral:tRNA from 1 species